CAGUAGCCGCGGGAAUACGUAGGGUGCAAGCGUUAAUCGGAAUUACUGGGCGUAAAGCGUGCGCAGGCGGUUAUAUAAGACAGAUGUGAAAUCCCCGGGCUCAACCUGGGAACUGCAUUUGUGACUGUAUAGCUAGAGUACGGCAGAGGGGGAUGGAAUUCCGCGUGUAGCAGUGAAAUGCAUAGAUAUGCGGAGGAACACCGAUGGCGAAGGCAAUCCCCUGGGCCUGUACUGACGCUCAUGCACGAAAGCGUGGGGAGCAAACAGGAUUAGAUACCCCAGUAGUCCCUGUCUCUUAUAC
rnacentral:rRNA from 1 species